rnacentral:rRNA from 1 species
GAUAAACGCUGGCGGCGUGCCUAAUACAUGCCAGUCGAGCGAACAGACGAGGAGCUUGCUCCUCUGAUGUUAGCGGCGGACGGGUGAGUAACACGUGGAUAACCUACCUAUAAGACUGGGAUAACUUCGGGAAACCGGAGCUAAUACCGGAUAACAUGUUGAACCGCAUGGUUCAACAGUGAAAGACGGUCUUGCUGUCACUUAUAGAUGGAUCCGCGCCGCAUUAGCUAGUUGGUAAGGUAACGGCUUACCGAGGCAACGAUGCGUAGCCGACCUGAGAGGGUGAUCGGCCACACUGGAACUGAGACACGGUCCAGACUCCUACGGGAGGCAGCAGUAGGGAAUCUUCCGCAAUGGGCGAAAGCCUGACGGAGCAACGCCGCGUGAGUGAAGAAGGUCUUCGGAUCGUAAAACUCUGUUAUUAGGGAAGAACAAAUGUGUAAGUAACUAUGCACGUCUUGACGGUACCUAAUCAGAAAGCCACGGCUAACUACGUG